GCGAAUAGAUCAAUAAAUAAAAAAAAAUAUUUUUGGAGCGACAGUAUCAAUACACAACGUAUUAAAGUCAUAGAUGAUGAAUUACAAUCAGACCAAAUUAGUUUAUAUGAUUGUUUUCAAAAGUUUAAAAACGAUGUUUUUAAAUUAAAUAUAAAAUUUGGAGAGUACCCAAAAGAAAAAAUUAACGUUAAGAUAAACGAACAUUUAAGUUUAAACGACAAAA